CAGGAAAAAAAGCUUUCCACUCCAUCGACUGUGUCAGAGGUCGCUGGACAUUCUCAUAGUCCAACGAGGCUUUCGCUAUGAAUGCCAUUAGCUUAAUGUAUCCGUAUCAAAAAUCAAUUCCAUCACCCAUGAAGUGCAUUGACUUGUUGACCAGUUCAAUUGAUUUGAGUUAUUUACAGCUCAAGUUGGGACUGACACAUGCGAUCGCCCCGUCAACCUGGAUCUGAUCACGUCUCCUCUCUGACGUCGCGUUCCUCAAAUACAUCGAAGGAUGCAAGCACCAUUUGGAAUGCGGUGCCUGCGAGCGCGUAGGACUCAAGUCCGUUUCCUGGGGUUUUCCGAGAAAAAAUAAAUCUUCACCCUCUCUCCUCCCGCUGCCAUAUGUGAAAGGGCCGCGCUCGUGACUCCUGUGGUGAAGUCGGAGAAAGAGCACGGAUGGAGCCCUGUGUCAUGUCUGUGAUGUGUCAGUGCGUCUGUACACCACUCCAGGGACUGCAGGAUUACUUUACAAACUGAGCCUCACAGAGGCCUGCCUGACUGCUCCUGAACAAUACAGUAGUUCAUUCAGGGACUAACUCCGGCCAUCUCUCACUGUGAUACAAAUCAAGGCUUUGUAAGUCCCUGCAGAGACGAGGAGGAAGGAAAAAAUGGUGUUAUGUUGUGUUU